rnacentral:sRNA from 1 species
ACCGUGAGGAAGGUGGGGAUGACGUCAAAUCAUCACGGCCCUUACGUUCUGGGCUACACACGUGCUACAAUGGCCGGUACAGAAAGCAGCCACUAUGCGAAUAGGAGCUAAUCUUCAAAGCCGGUCUCAGUUCGGAUCGCAGUCUGCAACUCGACUGCGUGAAGCUGGAAUCGCUAGUAAUCGGAUAUCAGCCAUGAUCCGGUGAAUACGUUCCCGGGCCUUGUACACACCGCCCGUCAAGCCAUGGAAGCUGGGGGUACCUAAAGUCGGUGACCGAAAGGAGCCGCCUAGGGUAAAACUAGUAACUGGGGCUAAGUCGUAACAAGGUAGCCGUACCGGAAGGUGCGGCUGGAAUACCUCCUUUCUAGAGAAAGACGACCUGACUAUAGCAUCAAUCCUUUGCGUUUGCUUGCUGUCAUUUUUUUAUAAUAACCCUUAAGAUAGAAUCUCGAAUAGAGUCUCGUAGCUCAGCCGGUUAGAGCGCUACACUGAUAAUGUAGAGGUCGGCAGUUCGAGUCUGCCCGAGACUACUAAAUUCCAAUUCGGAAAAAAGGGGGAUUAGCUCAGCUGGCUAGAGCGCCUGCCUUGCACGCAGGAGGUCAUCGGUUCGACUCCGAUAUUCUCCACGACUUCUUAAUGUAAAUUAAGAAUAAGAGUUCAUUGACAUAUUGAAAAUAUCAAGUACAAUUCAUAAAUUAUUCAGUUAUCCAAUUUAAUAGUUUUAUGAGAUUGUACAGAGUUAACGUAAAUAGGUAUUUAAUACUGUUAUUAUUAAAUACCAAAUUAUUUUACAAUUUAAGAAAGAGUUAAGAGUUACUUGUAACUUUUUAAUAAGUUACAAUAGGCUAAUUAAGAGCGUAAGGGGAAUGCCUUGGCUCUCAGAGGCGAUGAAGGACGUGAUAAGCUGCGAUAAGCUGUGGGGA